rnacentral:rRNA from 1 species
UACGUAGGCAGCGAGCGUUGUUCGGAGUUACUGGGCGUAAAGGGUGUGUAGGCGGUUGUUUAAGUUUGGUGUGAAAUCUCCCGGCUCAACUGGGAGGGUGCGCCGAAUACUGAAUGACUUGGAGUGCGGGAGAGGUGAGUGGAAUUCCUGGUGUAGCGGUGAAAUGCGUAGAUAUCAGGAGGAACACCGGUGGCGAAGGCGGAUCUCUGGGCCGUACCUGACGCUCAGGCGCGAAAGCUAGGGGAGCGAACUGG